CGCUGAACUUCUCAUCCGUAAAGGAGCAAAUGUUAAUGUUAAAAAUAAUUCGAAUCAGACUCCUCUCCAAGUAGCUAUUAACAAUGGUCACAAUGAGGUCGCCAAACUUUUUAUCGGUAAAGGAAACAAAAUUAAUAUUGCAGAGCAAUUGGAAUAGAUUCAAUUGGAUACAAACAAUGAUGACGAAUAGCUGAACCAAUUUUGCUGAAUAAUCGGAUGAUUUCCUUCGAUUCCCUUUUUCGAUUGUAGUGUAGAAUUAAUUUCAAAACAUUUUUUUGUCAAUCUAUGACCAUACCAACCAAUAUUGUUGCUUUGUUGGACCAUCGACUAAUAUUCUG